rnacentral:rRNA from 1 species
GAUGAACGCUAGCGGCAGGCCUAAUACAUGCAAGUCGAACGAUAGAAGAGGGCUUGCUCUCUUCGAAAGUGGCGCACGGGUGCGUAACGCGUAUGCAACCUACCUUAAUCAGGGGGAUAGCCCGAAGAAAUUCGGAUUAACACCGCAUAAAAUCACAGUACAGCAUUGUACAAUGAUCAAAUAUUUAUAGGAUUAAGAUGGGCAUGCGUGACAUUAGCUAGUUGGCGGGGUAACGGCCCACCAAGGCGACGAUGUCUAGGGGAUCUGAGAGGAUGACCCCCCACACUGGUACUGAGACACGGACCAGACUCCUACGGGAGGCAGCAGUAAGGAAUAUUGGUCAAUGGAGGCAACUCUGAACCAGCCAUGCCGCGUGCAGGAAGACAGCCCUCUGGGUCGUAAACUGCUUUUAUUCGGGAAUAAACCUACUUACGUGUAAGUAGCUGAAUGUACCGAAGGAAUAAGGAUCGGCUAACUCCGUGCCAGCCGCCGCGGUAA